GGUGAACGCUGGCGGCGUGCCUAAUACAUGCAAGUCGAGCGAAAGGAUAAUAAGAUUGCUCCCUUACCGUUAGCGGCUGACGGGUGGGUAACAAGUAGAUAAGAUACCUAUUAUUCUGGGGUGACUUCGGGAGACAGGUGCUACUAACAGCUCAUACAACGUACCGGAUGGUUCAGUAGUGCUAGGCGGCUUUGCCGACUGUUAUAGCUGGAUUCGUGCCGCAUUAGCUAGUUGGUAAGGUAACGGCAUACCAAGGCAACGAUGCGUAGCCGACCUGAGAGGGUGAUCGGCCACACUGGAACUGAGACACGGUCUAGACUCCUACGGGAGGCAGCAGUAGGGAAUAUUGCACAAUGGGCGAAAGCCUGACGCAGCAACGCCGCGUGGGUGAUGAAGGUCUUCGGGUCGUAAAGCCCUUUUAUUGGGGAAGAACAAAUGUGGAAUAAUCUACGGAUGUCUUGACGGUACCUAAAGAGAAAGCAACGGCUAACUUCGUG
rnacentral:rRNA from 1 species